rnacentral:rRNA from 1 species
GGCUCUUUGUAAUAUAAAAAUAAAGAGUCCGGCCUGCUCAAUGAUGAUUUAUCAUUAAAUAGCUGCGGAAUCCUACCCGUGUGAAAGUAGCAUAAUCAUUUGCCUCUUAAUUGGUGGCUGGAAUGAAUGGUACGAUGAAAAUAGAGCUGUCUCUAAUAUGUUUUAUUGAAAUUACCUUUUAGGUGAAAAGGCCUAAAUAUAUCUAUAAGACAAGAAGACCCUAUCGAGCUUUAAGUAGGCUAUAUAUAAUAUUUAGUUAGCUUUUGGUUGGGGCAACCAGGGGGCAGAUUAAAUCCCUCUUUUAUUAUGUCACUUACUAGUGAAGAUCCAGUUAUAUUGAUCAUGGGA